rnacentral:rRNA from 1 species
UNUGACUUGAGUGCAGAAGGGGAGAGUGGAGUUCCAUGUGUAGCGGUGAAAUGCGUAGAUAUAUGGAGGAACACCAGUGGCGAAAGCGGCUCUCUGGUCUGUCACUGACGCUGAGGCUCGAAAGCGUGGGUAGCGAACAGGAUUAGAUACCCUGGUAGUCCACGCCGUAAACGAUGAGUGCUAGGUGUUAGGCCCUUUCCGGGGCUUAGUGCCGGAGCUAACGCAAUAAGCACUCCGCCUGGGGAGUACGACCGCAAGGUUGAAACUCAAAGGAAUUGACGGGGGCCCGCACAAGCGGUGGAGCAUGUGGUUUAAUUCGAAGCAACGCGAAGAACCUUACCAGGUCUUGACAUCCCGAUGCUAUUCUUAGAGAUAGGAAGUUACUUCGGUACAUCGGAGACAGGUGGUGCAUGGUUGUCGUCAGCUCGUGUCGUGAGAUGUUGGGUUAAGUCCCGCAACGAGCGCAACCCUUAUUGUUAGUUGCCAUCAUUAAGUUGGGCACUCUAGCGAGACUGCCGGUAAUAAACCGGAGGAAGGUGGGGAUGACGUCAAAUCAUCAUGCCCCUUAUGACCUGGGCUACACACGUGCUACAAUGGUCGGUACAACGAGUUGCGAGCCGGUGACGGCAAGCUAAUCUCUGAAAGCCGAUCUCAGUUCGGAUUGGAGGCUGCAACUCGCCUCCAUGAAGUCGGAAUCGCUAGUAAUCGCGGAUCAGCACGCCGCGGUGGAUACGUUCCCGGGCCUUGUACACACCGC